AGCGAACGCUGGCGGCAGGCUUAACACAUGCAAGUCGAGCGGGCGUAGCAAUACGUCAGCGGCAGACGGGUGAGUAACGCGUGGGAACGUACCUUUUGGUUCGGAACAACACAGGGAAACUUGUGCUAAUACCGGAUAAGCCCUUACGGGGAAAGAUUUAUCGCCGAAAGAUCGGCCCGCGUCUGAUUAGCUAGUUGGUAGGGUAAUGGCCUACCAAGGCGACGAUCAGUAGCUGGUCUGAGAGGAUGAUCAGCCACAUUGGGACUGAGACACGGCCCAAACUCCUACGGGAGGCAGCAGUGGGGAAUAUUGGACAAUGGGGGCAACCCUGAUCCAGCCAUGCCGCGUGAGUGAUGAAGGCCCUAGGGUUGUAAAGCUCUUUUGUGCGGGAAGAUAAUGACGGUACCGCAAGAAUAAGCCCCGGCUAACUUCGUGCCAGCAGCCGCGGUAAU
rnacentral:rRNA from 1 species